UACGGAGGGUGCAAGCGUUAUCCGGAUUUACUGGGUUUAAAGGGUGCGUAGGCGGGCCUUUAAGUCAGUGGUGAAAUCUCCCCGCUCAACGGGGAAACUGCCAUUGAUACUAUUGGUCUUGAAUUUAGUUGAGGUGGGCGGAAUGUGUCGUGUAGCGGUGAAAUGCUUAGAUAUGACACAGAACACCGAUUGCGAAGGCAGCUCGCUAAACUAAUAUUGACGCUGAGGCACGAAAGCGUGGGGAUCAAACGGG
rnacentral:rRNA from 1 species